rnacentral:rRNA from 1 species
UGGGGAAUUUUGGACAAUGGGCGAAAGCCUGAUCCAGCAAUGCCGCGUGUGUGAAGAAGGCCUUCGGGUUGUAAAGCACUUUUGUCCGGAAAGAAAUCCUUGGUUCUAAUAUAACCGGGGGAUGACGGUACCGGAAGAAUAAGCACCGGCUAACUACGUGCCAGCAGCCGCGGUAAUACGUAGGGUGCGAGCGUUAAUCGGAAUUACUGGGCGUAAAGCGUGCGCAGGCGGUUUGCUAAGACCGAUGUGAAAUCCCCGGGCUCAACCUGGGAACUGCAUUGGUGACUGGCAGGCUAGAGUAUGGCAGAGGGGGGUAGAAUUCCACGUGUAGCAGUGAAAUGCGUAGAGAUGUGGAGGAAUACCGAUGGCGAAGGCAGCCCCCUGGGCCAAUACUGACGCUCAUGCACGAAAGCGUGGGGAGCAAACA